AGCGAACGCUGGCGGCGUGCCUAACACAUGCAAGUCGAACGUGAAAAGGGAAACCUGUGUUAGGUGGCGUACGGGUGAGUAACGCGUAGGUAAUCUACCCCAGAAUCGGGAAUCACCUGCCGAAAGGCGGGCUAACACUGGAUAGAGCGAGGGAACUCGUAAGAGAGUUUUUCGGGAAAGGGAGCCCGCAAGGGCCUUCGCUCUGGGAUGAGCCUGCGUCUCAUUAGCUAGUUGGUAAGGUAACGGCUUACCAAGGCGAUGAUGAGUAGCUGGUCUGGGAGGGUGGACAGGCACAAUUGAACUGAAGCACGGGCCCGACUCCUAAGGGGAGCAGCAGUGGGGAAUCUUGCGCAAUGGACGGAAGUCUGACGCAGCCACGCCGCGUGGGUGAAGAAGGCCUUCGGGUUGUAAAGCUCUGUCGGAUGGGAAGAACAGCGUCAUAGUGAAUAGCUAUGAGCUCUGACGGUACCAUCAAAGGAAGCACCGGCUAACUCCGUG
rnacentral:rRNA from 1 species